rnacentral:misc_RNA from 1 species
UUUCCGUAGGUGAACCUGCGGAAGGAUCAUUACAGAGGUUUAUCCUUAUUUUGUGAACUUAUUAUCUGGCAUUGAAGUUUAGCACGAGCUGAUCUGAUUUCAAUUUUUGAUUGAGGUCAAUCAGCAACGACGGCGACCACUUCAAUGCCAAACUUUACACAAUAUAACGUCUGAAGAAAAGAAAUGAAAAACUUUCAACAAUGGAUCUCUUGGCUCUGGCAUCGAUGAAGAACGCAGC